rnacentral:rRNA from 1 species
GUCUACGACCAUCCCACCCUGAACACGCCCAUUCUCAUCCAAUCUCGGAAGCUAGGCAGGGUCAGGCCUG